GUGGGUGAGCGCUGGACCUACUCGGGUCGGGCAGGGGGAGAAUUCAGCAGAGAUGGGCUCGGAGAGCGCCCCGAGUGCGGGCUGGUGCGGAAACUCGGGACCGCGCCGGGAGGGCUCGGCGCGGGGCUGGGGCUGGGUCUGGGGCCGAACACUUACCUGGGCGCCGUCAGCAGCAGGAGCGGGGCCGGCGCUGGCGGAGGCGGCCACAGGGCGCAAGUUUGCCAUCCCUAAGGCGGGGGCCGGGCCGGACGCAGGGCAGCUCGCUGCAGCCGCGCAGAGGGCCGAGGCUCCCGCUCCGUGGAGCGGCGAGUGCAGAAAAGGCGCCGCGGAGCAGCGCGGGGCGGGCGGGCGGUCGGGCGGGCGCCGGGCCGGGCGCGGGCGCGGGCUUCUGCCGCCGCCUCCUCGCCACGCCGCCCCCGCUCCCCGCCCCGAGCACCUCCUGCGCUGCGCGCCGCCUCCUAUUCGCGGGCGGCGGCCGCAGCCCCAGGCUCUGAGCGCCGGUGCCGCAUCCUCCUCGGUCUCCGAGCGUCGCCGCUGUCACCGCCGCUGCCGCCGAACCGGAUUCCUCCGGCCGCUCCGGCCGCUGCCCGCAACGCGCGCCGGGCCGAGUGACGGCCGAGGCGGGACGCGGCGCCUGCGCGGGCUGGGCCCGGGAGGGGGCGCGCGCCGGGACGGGCGCGAGGAGCCGCGGGAGAAGGGUGGUGGUGGUGGGGGGGACGCGCGCCGCCUCCUGUUAAAGGGGGAGCAGCGCCAGCCUAGCCAAGCGCGCCCUCCCCCUCUCCUCCCCGGGCCUCAGGCGCCGGCGCGGGAGAAGCCCCGGGCUUUCCUGAUGUCCCCAGGAGUCUGGGACGGGCCCUGACAUUGGCUCAGGGGGAAGGCCUGCCAAUGCACACUCAGGAGUGUACAUACACACGGACCCAGAGACCCAGAUUAGAAGACUUUCGAGAAGGGUGGACACUGAGGCCUCCCAGAACAGCUCAGCAGGAGGCCCAGCACCAAGAUCUGCUCCAAAAACAUGGAAGGAAGGAAGGAAGGAAGGAAAAGAGAAGACAGUACCAGCAUUGAUGAAAAUUGAAAUCUGGGCCACUCUGACUCUGUUGAUGGAAGGGAAAAUUAGAACAACUUUUCUGGAAAACCACUGAGCGGUGGUGUCAAGAGCUUUAAAACAGACAGACCCUCUGGUCCCAUUCAUCUACUUUUAGGAACUCAAUCCAAGAAAUAACCAAAGACGCCAAAAAAGACCCAUGUACAAGGAUGCUUAUUACUGUUAUUUAUAACUGUGAAAAAUCCCAACCAACAUAAAUGUCUAGCAAUGGAGGGCUGGUUAAAUAAAUUAUGAUACAUCCAUAUAUAAGAAUGUUAUGUAAACAUUAAAUGUCAUGUUCUUGAAGAAUUUUUAAUAACCUGGGAAAUACCAUUUUAUAAGUAAAGCACAACAGAAAACAAAACCGUCCAUCUAGGAUGGUCUUGAUUGUAUAAAGAAAACAUUUAAUCAAUUCAUGUAAAGAAAGUCUGGAAGGAAAUAAAUGAGAGUUAAUCUGAG
rnacentral:lncRNA from 1 species